CCUACGGGAGGCAGCAGUGGGGAAUAUUGCACAAUGGGGGAAACCCUGAUCCAGCAAAGCCGCGUGAGUGAAGACGUAUCUAGGGAUGUAAAGCUCUAUCAGCAGGGAAGAAGAUGACGUUACCUGUGUAAGAAUCUCCGUAUAACUACGUGCCGGCAGCCGCAGUACUACGUAGGGGGCAAGCGUUAUCCGGAUUUACUGGGUGUAAAGGGAGCGUAGACGGUGAGACAAGUCUGAAGUGAAAGCUCGGGGCUCAACCCCGGUACUGCGUUGGAAACUGGCUGACUGGAGUGCUGGGGAGGCAAGCGGAAUUCGUGGUGUAGCGGUGAAAUGCGUAGAUAUUAGGAAGAACACCAGUGGCGAAGGCGGCUUGCGGGACAGUAACUGACGUUGAGGCUCGAAAGCGUGGGGAUCAAACAGGAUUAGAUACCCUAGUAGUC
rnacentral:rRNA from 1 species